rnacentral:rRNA from 1 species
GACGAACGCUGGCGGCGUGCUUAACACAUGCAAGUCGAACGGAAAGGCCCUGCUUUUGUGGGGUGCUCGAGUGGCGAACGGGUGAGUAACACGUGAGUAACCUGCCCUUGACUUUGGGAUAACUUCAGGAAACUGGGGCUAAUACCGGAUAGGAGCUCCUGCUGCAUGGUGGGGGUUGGAAAGUUUCGGCGGUUGGGGAUGGACUCGCGGCUUAUCAGCUUGUUGGUGGGGUAGUGGCUUACCAAGGCUUUGACGGGUAGCCGGCCUGAGAGGGUGACCGGCCACAUUGGGACUGAGAUACGGCCCAGACUCCUACGGGAGGCAGCAGUGGGGAAUAUUGCACAAUGGGCGGAAGCCUGAUGCAGCAACGCCGCGUGCGGGAUGACGGCCUUCGGGUUGUAAACCGCUUUCGCCUGUGACGAAGCGUGAGUGACGGUAAUGGGUAAAGAAGCACCGGCUAACUACGUGCCAGCAGCCGCGGUGAUACGUAGGGUGCGAGCGUUGUCCGGAUUUAUUGGGCGUAAAGGGCUCGUAGGUGGUUGAUCGCGUCGGAAGUGUAAUCUUGGGGCUUAACCCUGAGCGUGCUUUCGAUACGGGUUGACUUGAGGAAGGUAGGGGAGAAUGGAAUCCCUGGUGGAGCGGUGGAAUGCGCAGAUAUCAGGAGGAACACCAGUGGCGAAGGCGGUUCUCUGGGCCUUUCCUGACGCUGAGGAGCGAAAGCGUGGGGAGCGAACAGGCUUAGAUACCCUGGUAGUCCACGCUGUAAACGGUGGGUACUAGGUGUGGGGUCCAUUCCACGGGUUCCGUGCCGUAGCUAACGCUUUAAGUACCCCGCCUGGGGAGUACGGCCGCAAGGCUAAAACUCAAAGGAAUUGACGGGGCCCCGCACAAGCGGCGGAGCAUGCGGAUUAAUUCGAUGCAACGCGUAGAACCUUACCUGGGUUUGACAUGGAUCGGGAGUGCUCAGAGAUGGGUGUGCCUCUUUUGGGGUCGGUUCACAGGUGGUGCAUGGCUGUCGUCAGCUCGUGUCGUGAGAUGUUGGGUUAAGUCCCGCAACGAGCGCAACCCUUGUUCACUGUUGCCAGCACGUUAUGGUGGGGACUCAGUGGAGACCGCCGGGGUCAACUCGGAGGAAGGUGGGGAUGACGUCAAGUCAUCAUGCCCCUUAUGUCCAGGGCUUCACGCAUGCUACAAUGGCUGGUACAGAGAGUGGCGAGCCUGUGAGGGUGAGCGAAUCUCGGAAAGCCGGUCUCAGUUCGGAUUGGGGUCUGCAACUCGACCUCAUGAAGUCGGAGCCGCUAGUAAUCGCAGAUCAGCAACGCUGCGGUGAAUACGUUCCCGGG